rnacentral:rRNA from 1 species
UACGUAGGGACCAAGCGUUGUUCGGAUUCAUUGGGCGUAAAGGGUGCGUAGGUGGCGUGGUAAGUCGGGUGUGAAAUUUCGGAGCUUAACUCCGAAACUGCAUUCGAUACUGCUGUGCUUGAGGACUGGAGAGGAGACUGGAAUUUACGGUGUAGCAGUGAAAUGCGUAGAGAUCGUAAGGAAGACCAGUGGCGAAGGCGGGUCUCUGGACAGUUCCUGACACUGAGGCACGAAGGCCAGGGGAGCAAACGGG